rnacentral:tRNA from 1 species
GUGAUUCAGUGGUAGAAUUCUUGCCUUCCAUGUGGGAGACGUGGGUUCGAUUCCCAGCC